AUGGCUUCUUGGAUUAAUUAAGAAGUUUAACCUGCUCACUGAAAUAUUUAAAGAGCUGCAGUAUUUUGACUGUACAAAGGUAGCACAAUCAUUAGUCUUUUAAUUGGGGACUGGUAUGAAAGGUUGGACAAAGCGUUAUUGUUUUGAUUUUAUAAUCUGAAUUUUUCUUUUAUGUUAAAAGACAUAAAUCGAGAUAAGGGACAAGAAGACCCUUUAAACUUUAUUUAUUUUUUGAUUUAUUAUUUUUGUUAAUAAAAUAGAAGUUGAUUUAUAUUUUUAACUGGGGCGGUGGAUAUAAUUUAUCUAUAUUUUUUAUAGCUUUGACAAGAAAAUUUUAUAUGAUCCUUCUAGUGAGAUGAAGAAAAUAGUUACUGGAGGGAUAACAGCGUAAUGUUUUUGAGAGUUCUGAUUGAAUAUAAUGUUUGCGA
rnacentral:rRNA from 1 species